UAAUCCCUGCGGUGCGCGUUGGAGAUUUUGAUAAUUAUUGAACCAACAUUAUUAUCAAGGGAGCCCAGAAUUCCGCGACGGUUUUCCGUACAGGAGAGGGCACCCACCUGAAACCAACCGGUUCAGAUGUCAACCCAACGGCAUUUCCGCGGGGAUUUU
rnacentral:other from 1 species